AAAAGACAAGAAAACAGAUUCUUCCCUGAAACGUCCAGAUAGGACACAGGCCCACAGAUCUUUAUUUUAAAUCUGUCACUUCCAGAACCCUAAGAGAAUGAAUUUGUAUUGUUUUAAGCCAUUAGGUUUGUGGUAAUAGAAAAUUAAUACAUAAAUUAAAUAGUCUCUGCUCUUCAAACACUCAUCAUUUGGUGUCAGCUACCUCGUCUCAGCAGGUACUAAACUAGAAGAACUCUGAUUUGAUCAAGAGCCGAGUUGAACUUAUAGAAAAGCGGCUGAUAUUUGAUCUGCCACCCCUCUCAAUUCCUAUGACUAUGCCUCAGUCAAACAUGCCUGGCUUUUCUCUCCGUUUAGAUCUAUCCUGACCAAGGACGAACAUUAUGAACUCAAAAAUCACCGUGUCAUGUCCUGAGAGAACCAGCCACUAUGGCCUGUAGCUCUGAGGGCCUUCUGCUGGCAAAUGGUCUGUGCCAGAUCAUCCUCCUCAGUCUAGGCAGGCCGGUGGCCUAGAAGUGGCAUUACUGACAUCUAUCUGACUCUGAGCUCAGAACUUGGCACUGCCCUGUGCAGAUAUUACCUGCGAUCUUAUUUUCCAGAUGAAGGAAACUGAGAUCCACGUUUGUAUAACCAGCAGCUAGCAGAAGGACUGUUUGGAUUCAGUUAAGUCCAACUUAAAGUCAGCCCCACCAAGUCCAGAUUUCUCUGAACUGAAGGACUCCCAAAAAAGUACCACAUCUGCCCCACCCAUCCCUUGGCCUGUUAUUAUACCCACUUGUCUAUAACCCCAAGCUCUGACCAUCACGUACUUGGUUAAGACUGGAGAUGAAGUCCCCCCACCGCCAGAGUUUCUGUUAUGGUGCAACACGGAAUGCUACACAAAGACCAGAGGUGUGCUUAGUCACUGAGCAUCAAAAGAGAAGACAAGAAUGAAAGAGCAUACGUUUAUCAAAGAGACUGUUUGGGAAAAAUGUGUUUUCAUCUCAGUCAACCAGGUGAUCCAUGAGGUGGUUAAGGAAACCUUUAAGGAAAGAAGAAAGCAAUCAUGGAAAUGAAGCAGAGUCUUUGGGCAGUUGGCCGUGGGUGGAUUAGUGAGUUUGCUUUAUUUCUCUUAAGGAUUUUGACCUCUUAUAUUUGGUUUGUUUUAUCUCCAUUAUUUCUAUCCUAAUCUAGACUACAAUCACCUCUUAUAAGAUACUGUUAUAAGACUUUAAAUGUCUAUGAAUUGUUUUUUCCAUAUCUUAUCUAACCAACUGUAGCCCCCAAAAUCUAUACUAGAAGCCAUAACAAAUUUUCUCAUACUUUGAAAAUAAUCACCCUACUGUUUUUGGCUUCCAUUACUCCUAUUGAGAAGUCAGAUAUCAAACAUAUUAUUGCUCCUAUGACAGGAAUGUGCAUUAUUUUUCUUUUUGACUUUGGUUUUUACUAUCUUUUAUUAUCUUAUCUUGGUCUUGUUGUCAUAUUUAUUUGAACUGCAUUACUGUAAUUAUUGUAUUUAUACUCUUGACAUUACAGAGCUUCAUGAACCUGAGGAUUAAUAUCAUUCAUCAACUCUGGAAAGUAUUCAGCCAUUAUCUGCUUAAAUAUUGCUCCUGCUUUUUUAAUACCAUUUCCUUCUGGAAUUCCAUUUAUGUAUUAGAUGUAUUGAUUGUCUAUAUCUAUGUUUCUUUCCUGUAUUUUCAGGAGUUUUUUUCUUUUUCUUUUUAGGGCCACUCUCAUGGCAUAUGGAGGUUGCCAGGCUAGACGUCCAAUCAGAGCUACAGCUGCCAGCCUACACCACAGCCACAGCAAUGCCAGAUCCUUAACCCAAUGAGUGAGGCCAGGGAUCAAACCCACAGCCUCAUGGUUCCUAGUCAGAUUAGUUUCUACUGCACCACAACGGGAACUCCUCUUUUCUGUAUUUUCUAUAUUUUAUCCCCAUGUAAUAAAUUAUGGAGAUUUUCUGUUGAUCUGCCUUCCAGAUCAUUAAUUCUACUUAUUAUUAGAUCUAGUAACUGUUACUGUUACUGAUAUUAUUCAUUCAGUUCUAGAAUUUCCCAUCUGAUUUGAUCUUAUAGAUUCAAACCUCUGAUAUAUCCUCUAUAAUCACAGCCAUUUUCUCCAUGUUCUUAAAUGUGUGUGUGUGUGUGUGUGUGUGUGUAUUUACUUAAAUAUACAUAUUUACUUAAAAGUCUUGUUGACUAACUCCUAUAGCUAGAUCACAUGUGGGCCCAUUUCUUUUCUGUUGUUUUUCAGUCAUGCAGUCCUGUGUUCUGGUGAGGGUGUUAAUUGGUAAAUUCAUGUAUAUUAUUUAUAAAACUUGUAGGUAGUCCAGGUAAUGUUGUUUUCCUCCAUAGACCAUUUGCCACUCCCGCAUUUAGGCAGAUAGAGUAGUAGCUGAUCACUUUAACCUAAUCAGAGAUGAUGCUAUAGCAAGGUUGUGUUGUCAUCAAGGUAAAGUUCAGUCUAUUUCCUGUUUUCUUUUAUUUAGGGCACAGUCUUCUAAGAGUUUUAUCUAAAAGCCUGGUACACUCACUGUAUCACUUCUCCAUAAUGAGUUCUGAGCUCUAAUCUUCAUCUCUUGAAACUAUGAAGACUGUUGAAAAUGAAAACUCUGCAGUAUUUUUCACCCCAAAGGAUUUGAACUUAGGGUUUUUGCCUCCAACUCCAUGCAGCCUAGAAUUCAACUGAGGGGAAACCAGCUACAUGCAUGAGAACUCCCAAGUCUCUCCCACAAGCUCUGCUGGCUUCCCUUUUCUCCAGUAGCAGCCUUCCACUAGUGCAAAUCUUGGAUAUUCAGCCUGGGUACAGAAUUGCAGAAUUACACCACAAGAAAUGCCAGAGGAAGUUCUUUAGACCAGUGUAAAAUGACAUUAGAUGGAAACUUAGAUCCAUAAGGACUAAGGCUGUGAAAAGUAAAGAUAAAAUAUAGAAAUCAUCUGUUCGAAGGCAGCACAUAAUUGCUAAGGCAAAGAGGAUGAGUGUGGCUAAGAAUCUGGAAAAGUGAACUGACUUCUACAGCCUCUUUUAAACUGGUCCAUUCACUGUUCUGGUAUCUUCUUUUUUUUUUUUCCAGCUGUUCUCUACAGGAUCAAACUUUCCAUCAGUCACUCUUGGCAGUCUGUCAAUGUAAUCUUUUUAAACUCACAGAUCUACACAUCGGAAUAUUCCUCUGCUUCAUAUCUCCAAGUGACCCCUACUAGUGAUUAGAGUAAAAUUAAUUUACAAGCCCACUUUCUUCUACAUGUCUGUCUGCUACCUUCCCAAAAUAACCUUGCAUUUUCUACAUUCCCCACACCCACUGCACUGCAACCAAGCUGCAGAUUUUAUCCCUCACUCCAGGCCUUGACACCCAUGCUGUUCCCCCCCCCCCCCCGCCUCCCUUGGAUAUGCUUCUAGAAAAGCCUUCCUAGAGGAUAAGUCUGGAUUUACAGUAGUGAUCUUCGACCCGGUUCCCUGAUUUGGAUGGUGGGGUUGAGGAGGGGGAUCCAUUUAUUUUUCAAUACUCCUCUGCCAAUUAUUAGCUGUGCAACCCCAGAAAAUGUGUUGCAUCUGUAAAAUGGGGGAAAUAUUCAAAACUCUUGGUGAGGACUAAACCAGGAGCUGCAUUUUUAAAUGCUUGCCUUUCCAUGACACUGGUCUCCCUCUUUAAACCAAAGCACAUCAACCAAUAAGGAACAUUUCCAUCAGUCAGACUGGCUUGAGUUUCUAUGGCAAUGUUCCACUUCCCUUUUUUCAGCAGUCUGGCCUUAGCCAUGAGAUACGUUUUGAGACAUUGUAAUGACACAUAAACUCAUUCCCAUCUUAACAAGAACCAUGCCCCUACUUAAAGCCAAGGAGAUGCUCCUGUUAUGAGCCAUUAUUUCUUGGAGAAACAAGAAAAAAAUCCUUAGAAGCAAGUAUGCUGCAUAUUUUUAAAACAGCCUAAUCCUUGACUAACUGCAAUAUGUCUGUGAUUUCUUUUUUCUCCUCAUGUUUUACAUCCAUUAUGUAGUUCUAUUGUUCAAACAGCACUUACAAUGAAAUUGUGCCAGUAAAGAGACAUAGCAUCUCUGGGUCCUUUUAGUCCAGCUGUGAACUUUAGACUUAAUCCUUUAGGGCACCCUUGUCUGGUAAGCUUGAGUUUAUAUUAAAUUUUCUAAAAGGAAAGGCAGAAUGGUCAAAGCAAGAUAGGCAGACAGACAAGAGUCUGUCUUUCAUAAAUUAAUAAGCAUCACCGGCCGCCUUACUUGACCCUUUAAACUCUGUGAAAUUAAUAUAAGUAGACAACUAAGGCCCACUUGCCCCCCUCCAGAGCCUUGCAAGUUCACUUAAGCAAUGCAAGUUUCCUUAAAGUUUUAUAAGCCAGCUUUUAGAGCAAGUCCUUUGUACUUAUUACUGGUGACAGUGAGCAUUAUGGCAGCCAAUGAACCUUACUGACUUACGACCCCAAUAUGGUCGAGUACUGUUACCAAGGGAAAUAUCAGAAUCAAUGCUUGUAUAUUACAUUGAGGUCCUGACUUCUGAAAAGGCCCCCUCUAGACCCUUCAGAAUACGUCAGUGAAAUAAACAGCUAAUACUGCCGGUCUACGGACAAUGGUCAAAAAGUGCUGUUUAUUUAACAACUUUUCAACCAUCUUAACCCUUCUAAAGAGUGUAGGUUUCUAAAAGAAAGAAAAAACAAAUAUUCAUGGCCCCAAUUCUUUUGCAACGAUCCAGAUUUAUGCCCACUUUUCCAAGGAACAGCAUGUGUGGUCUUGCCUUAGGGAGCAAGGAACAUAAUGUCAUCUUCUCCCUCAAUUAACAGGCUUGCAUUAUGAAACAGCUCUGGUGGAAGGGGUGAAGGUACCACACCUCAUCUCCCAUGGUGUCCCCCAGGUGAGCUUACAGUCAGCUUCGCUGGAGGAAGGCUGGGCUCACCACCAUUUUUUAUUUAGUGGAGUCAUCAUGUCACUGCUUUGAAAGUAACCUCUCCUACAUAUAUCAUCACCAACUCUGUGCUUGGGAUUCUUAUGUAACUUUUUUUAAAAAGUCCAUUUCAGUCAUACUUGGGUUUUUUAUGACUUAGAUGUUCUGCCAGGCAUAAGAAAAUAAUCUAUAGUUAUUGUGAUUUUUCAGAGCAUAAGUUCUUUAGGGCUUUUUCCCCAGUAU
rnacentral:lncRNA from 1 species